GCGUGGAUGGUUCAAUGGUAGAAUAGUGCCCUUCCAAGGCAUUGACCCGGGUUCGAUUCCCGGUCUACGCA
rfam:Vavraia culicis subsp. floridensis unplaced genomic scaffold supercont1.19, whole genome shotgun sequence.